CAAGAGUACCAAUGCAUACAUGCUAAACUUACAAUAUGAUGGUGCUGAAGAAACAGUUCUUACUACUUCAUCCCCUGAUUUAAAUUUUGGGAACAAGUAAAAAAGCCUUGGCAGAUAGAGAACAGUGAUUACAAGUUACCUGCAAUAUGUACCAAGCCAAGAAAAGUGGGUCAUCUUUGGAUGCCAACCAUUUAAUGUUUAAUCAAAACCUUCGAGACAUUCUGUCGUGUUACACUCGUCAGAAUUCCCUUCAUCAUCAGUAUGUUUAACAGCGGGUUCAACAUCUUUUACACUUCGUGUCACUUCACGCAACACCUGUUGAAGAUAAUAAGACACAUUUACAUGCAUUUCCAGGUUGUGCAUACAAACUUGUGUAAUUUAACUUGUAUAAUUUUGUACUUACAACUCUACGGUCGCGAUUGCUCUUAUCACCUUGGAUUGAAAUGCCUUUUACAGAGUCUAUGGUUGGAACAGCAUCAGAGCGCAAUUGUCGUCUCAUGUUUAGCGAUUUUGCAACUGUUGCGUUCACCGUGAAUGCAGAAUCUGCGAAAUGCAUUGAACAUAGCACAGAGUACUGCUGAGGAACGAAUUUUGGCCUAUGUCUCCUAACAAAUUUUGUCCAUUUACUCAGCCUCUCCUUGUCAUUCAUGGGGAAACGAUGUACUGAGACACCCUCUGUGUGUUGACUGUUUGUACAACUUUCUCCUUUGGGCCAACCAGCAACACAAUAUUGUCCUCCUCGACAAUUUUUUGCAGAAUUUUGCCUACUCGCCAUAUUUUAACUUGCGGUGUAUCGUUACGUUUGACUAACUUAAUAAAAAAUUAUUCUCCUUA